rnacentral:misc_RNA from 1 species
GAUGAAGAACGCAGCGAAACGCGAUAAGUAAUGUGAACUGCAGAAUCCAGUGAAUCAUCGAAUCUUUGAACGCACAUUGCGCCCGCCAGCAUUCUGGCGGGCAUGCCUGUUCGAGCGUCAUUUCAACCCUCGACCUCCCCUUGGGGAGGUCGGCGUUGGGGACCGGCAGCACACCGCCGGCCCUGAAAUGGAGUGGCGGCCCGUCCGCGGCGACCUCUGCGCAGUAAUACAGCUCGCACCGGGACCCCGACGCGGCCACGCCGUAAAACACCCAACUUCUGAACGUUGACCUCGAAUCAGGUAGGACUACCCGCUGAACUUAAGCAUAUCAAUAAGCGGAGGA